UACGGGGGGGCAAGCGUUGUUCGGAAUUACUGGGCGUAAAGGGCGCGUAGGCGGCUCGCUAAGUCGGAUGUGAAAACUCUGGGCUCAAACCAGAGACUGCAUUCGAAACUGACGAGCUCGAGUACUGGAGGGGAAAGCGGAAUUCCUGGUGUAGCGGUGAAAUGCGUAGAUAUCAGGAGGAACACCGGUGGCGAAGGCGGCUUUCUGGACAGUAACUGACGCUGAGGCGCGAAAGCUAGGGGAGCAAACAGG
rnacentral:rRNA from 1 species